UACGGGGGGGGCAAGCGUUGUUCGGAAUUACUGGGCGUAAAGGGCUCGUAGGCGGCCAACUAAGUCAGACGUGAAAUCCCUCGGCUUAACCGGGGAACUGCAUCUGAUACUGGAUGGCUUGAGUUCGGGAGGGGGAUGCGGAAUUCCAGGUGUAGCGGUGAAAUGCGUAGAUAUCUGGAGGAACACCGGUGGCGAAGGCGGCAUCCUGGACCGACACUGACGCUGAGGAGCGAAAGCCAGGGGAGCCAAAGCGGGAU
rnacentral:rRNA from 1 species